CGUCGAUGCAAGGCACAUUACUUGUGCAACCUAAUUAAAUUUUGCGCUUUAUGAGCGCGAAGCAAAAAGAUCAAAGAAUUGGUAAAGUAUAAAUCACAAUUGACAUUAUUACGUACAUAAGCUCUUUUCUAGACACAUCGAUGUUAUGACGUCAUGAAGUGAUGAUGACGCAACAGAAGAACCCACUUCAACUUAGUUUGAGACGUCACAGAGGAUCAAGCGGACAAUGAAGCAUAUUUGGAAUGAAGAAAAGUCAGCGAAAAAAGCUGCCGAAGAAAAGCGCAAGCCGAAGAACAAAGACGAAGACGCCAAUAGAGGAUACACGGUUUGGGGUUUGAGUAUUAUAAGUAUGAGUUGUGUGUUAUGUGUAUGCUUGAGCUGCUGUACUCUCAUUCAUACUGCUGGGUCUAAUGUUGCCAGCUAUUUUCAGUCACUACUAUAGUGCAUUUUGCAUGUCUAUGAAAUAUAUGCAAUGAAACUAUGAGAAACAUCUUGCUGGAUCAGAUUUUGUUGUUGUACACUGUAUGGUGUGUUAAAACAAUUCGGUAAUGUCAUCGCUUGGUAAAAAAACGCUAUUUUGGUACACAAAUACUCUAGUAAUAUCAACAUGCAGUAUAAUAUAGCACGUAAUCAAAGUCAAUAAAUUUCCAUUUAAUUAUGUUAAACAUAUUUCAUCUCCACCCUGAUAAAAUUAUAAUAAAAAACGUCCAUGUAGCGUGAUUGGGACGAUGGCCACGUCACAAUUACGCUACGACGUCGUUACGAUGGGUCAGAGCAUUGUCAUGACCCUGCGUUCGGUGCGGUUACGUCAUGUCGAUUGAGUUACGUCACGGUCUGGUUUUUGCGUUGACGUCGCCGCCAGUGAUGCUACGCUCGGUUUAGGUCACUGUUAAUGCGGUUCGUAACAUCCUGACGCAGUUUCGCAACGGUCGAUGCGAUGCGUAACACCCGGACGGUAUUAUAUUGUGUGAAGAUAUACGACGAGAGUAUCGCGGUACCUACAUGGCGACUUAAUUAGAUUGAGACAUGCGAAGCUGUUGUUGGCUUCGGCUUCUUGUAAUUGGACAUACAAUAUGGUGUACACUGCAGAUGAAUAUCCUUCCGGAUUUGAAUCAUAUUUUAUUUGGAUAUAUUUCAAUGAUUAUGUUCGCGUUAAUUACUUUUGAUCGUGUCCCCUUUUGAAUGAUUGAGCUGAUGUGUUUGUUGCAUGUUG